CUCGUAGGUGGCUUUGUAAGUCGGAGGUGAAAGACCACGGCUCAACCGUGGAAACGCCUUCGAAACUGUGAAGCUUGAGGCUGGGAGAGGAAAUCGGAAUUCCUGGUGUAGCGGUGAAAUGCGUAGAUAUCAGGAGGAACACCGGUGGCGAAGGCGGAUUCUGGACCAGUUCUGACACUGAUGAGCGAAAGCCAGGGGAGCAAACA
rnacentral:rRNA from 1 species